rnacentral:rRNA from 1 species
UACGUAGGGAGCAAGCGUUGUCCGGAAUCAUUGGGCGUAAAGCGCGCGUAGGUGGCCCGGUAAGUCCGCUCUGAAAGUCAAAGGCUCAACCUUUGAAAGCGGGUGGAUACUGCCAGGCUAGAGUCCGGAAGAGGCGAGUGGAAUUCCUGGUGUAGCGGUGGAAUGCGCAGAUAUCGGGAGGAACACCAAUGGCGAAGGCAGCUCGCUGGGACGUGACUGACGCUGAGACGCGAAAGCGUGGGGAGCAAACAGG